UCUGUCAAUCAAUCGUUAUCAGCAUCCGUUGCAUUGCACUUCAUCGGGGAAAGAAAAUCGCGUAAAUAAAAAAUCACACGAAACAACAAGACACAGCAAUAUACACAGUUAUAGUUCCGUUAAUUGAAUGAUAUCGUUACUGACAUAAAAGGUGUGAAAAAGUGAUAUUAGCGUGGAGAGUAUUAGCCCUUUGAAAUAUUUAUGGUUUGUGGAAAAACCAAUUUUAUGGCAUUCCCGUACUAUUGAUUGUGUUUUUAGUGUUUCAAAAGCUAUUACAUGAACAGAAUGGAAGGGAGUAGCGACUCUCUGUCGGUGGUCGCCCCGUCUGUGGGGGGGUCUUCGUCCGUAUUGCUCACUCCUGGGCGGACAAGAAACAUCGCUCAGGAUAUGGAAGCCCUCAGAUUAUCACGACAGGACAACCCUUAUUUACAGCAAGUAAUGGCGAGUAGAGAAAGCUUGAUAGAGAGCCAUGCUGAUGAGUGUGAAUCUGAUGACACCAUACUUAUGUCACAGGAGUUUGGCAGCACAGCAUUGGAUUUUGUGGAAGAUGAUCCUCUCACUUUGAAAGAGGUUCAUGAACACAUGAUCAGGUCCCCUCCACCGACAAGCUGUUGGCCACAUGAGUCCCUCUCGUACCGAGCGACAUCGGCGUUCGACUUCGGAGGCAGCCAGCUCUCCUAUAGCGCUUACUCGGUCAAUUCUCACGACAAGGACCUGCGGUCCCCGCGGCGCGCGCGCAACGAUGAGAUCCGCAACAACAACGCCCCCGGACGACCCAGGUCAUCUAGGUCCGCGUCCCCGAGGUCACAUGACCUCAGCCUGUGUGGGCGUCCGUUGUCGUUACCAGGCGAAAGUCACCUGCGUACGGCUUUAACCAAGAAGCAGUCUAACCAAAGCGAACGGUUUUCCCUCCUACAGCACCCGCGCCCACUGCGGAGGCCGCACGGAAGCCGACGAGACGAAGACAGCGUCCAACUCGUUCAGGAAUACGACAAGUAGGUUUACAAUUACGGCUUUAUGUCAAAAAGGUCUUACAAAUACGACUUCACGUCAAAAAUAUCUCUAAAGUGCGACUUUAUGUCAAAAAUAUCUCUAAAGUGCGACUUUAUGUCAAAAAGAUCUCUAAAAUACGACUUUACGUCCAAAAGAUCUCGAAAGUACGACGUAACAUCAAAAUGAUCUUAAAAAAAAUAAGAUUUACAGCCAUUGCUAAGUCCAUAGUAUCUUCGAAGAUGAAGUUGGUUUAAGCUAAGGUUAGUUGGUUGAAAAGAGUUUUGUUAUACUUAUGGGUACAUCCACAGGUUAUAAAAUUUCAAGUACUAAUGUAUAAAUUAUGAGAAAAAAAUAAAAGUUGGAAAUAGUGACGGGUUUAGUCGUUAAAAGCGAAUAAAUAAAAUAUCUACGUAGAAGGAAAAACGUAGCCAUAUUGGCAACACCGAAGGCAUUGAAUCAAUAAAAAUCUACGUACGUUAUCCUCAGUGUUGCAAGCCUUGAUGUGUACAACUACCAACUUGUGGCUUCUUGGUGUUAUUAUUAGGCUUAACUGUCUUCUCUUAUGAACGUGCUACGCUACAAAAAUAACUAAUGCAGGCUGUAUGGUCUCAAGAUCUUUGCCUGGCUUAUAAAAAACAACAACUAAUAAAAAGUUUGUAAAAUACCGGGAAAAAUACGGAGUUCGAUGCAUUCCUUUUCCUUGCAAUUUAUCGGGAUUAAUAAAAAUAAGAAGUGACUAUUUCAAAAGAUCAGUUUAAACAAAUUACCUGUAUCGUAUUAGAAAAAGUUAUUAUUUAAGUAUAUAAAAUAUCGGCAUUGUGAAUGACAAAUGGUAGUUGGUUUAAAAAACGGUUUUUUUUUUAAAUCAAAUGAGUUUCCUCGUGACACUAUUCUGCCUCACAAAGAGCUGCCGAAAUGUAUAAAGGAUUUAGAAAUGUUUAAUGGCGAGGGAUAAAAAUAAACAUUUUAAUAAAUAAUACAAAAAUAUCAGCUAAAGCACGUCCAAUAAACAAACUUGAACGUAGAAAAUUUAAGUUUUCUCGUAACGUCAAAUGAAAAACUCAAAAUUCCUAUAAAUGCUCACUUUUGUAGUUUAGUCGUCCCUAAAAUUCCUAACCUAAUGUAGAUAUAAUAGUGCCGAUUCAAGCAGACUGAACUUAAUUUUAUUUUAGUCUGAUAGCUCUAAAAAUAUUGUCAUCCUUCACUUACAAAUUACAAUACGUGUAAGAAAACGUACGAUACGUGUGAGUUUUGUUCUGUCUUUAGUUAAAAUUAAGUUGGUGGUUGUCCGAAUCGGCACAUAAUAUAGUGCCGAUUAUGGCAGGAGAAACUUAAUUUUAUUAAAUAGUGCAAGACGGAGAUAAAUAUUGUUUUAGAACUAUCAAACUAAAUUAAAAUUGAGUUUGUGUCUGCAAAAAUACUUAGAUUGAAGUAGAAAAGGGAAUAUAUAUUAUUAUUUUAUAUAUUUGAUAUUUAUGCUAAUGGUUUGUAGGAGCAAUGAACAAAAAAAAAUUUGACAUGAUUCUUGUAGAUUUUUUUUUCAUUGCCUCAGAUGGCAUUAACUCUCAGAACAAUAACUAAAGCAUAGAAGGAAGGCUAAAAUAAGAAUUCAGAAACUAUAAACCGGCUCUCUUCUAGCUUACGACACAAACUAUGAGUGAGAAAAGGACAAAUGAUUCGCUCUUUGCUUCAUUUUUUUCCGAGGUUGUCACAACAUGAAAUGUCAUUUGGACCUAUUGGACUCAUUUUAACUCGGCCAAAUAAAUAAUAACAUAACAUAAGAAGAUUUUACUUAUAUUUACCGAACUAUUUGACACGGUCGCAUGAACGUUGUUUACGAGUGUCUUGUGUUCAGAUUGUUUUAAGUGAUAAUUUAACAAUAUUUUUCCAAAUAAAUGGAAAGAAACUUUUAUUUAUAUCAAAUAAUUGAGUGUCUCGACUCUGUGACAUUAUGUCUUGUGUGGUAUGGGGCUGCAGCUCACAUUCAGGAAGAAAAGAAAAUAGCCAACAACUUCUGUCGUUUCAUCGAUUUCCUGUAGACGAUAACAAAGAGAAAGAAUGGAUAAUUCGCAUUAAUAGACGAAAUUGGAUUCCAAAUAAGUACAGCCGUAUUUGCUCGAAACAUUUUACUGCGGAUUCAUUUAUGUGUGUUCCUAAUUCGAAGUGGAGACGUCUUUGAGACGAUGCUAUUCCUACAUUGAACAUUAUAGAUCAGACAGAUGAAAUGGUAAUUACGGCCAAGCACCACACACCCGAAGUCUCGACGGCAAAAGGGACAAAAUUGUGGGUCCGCGUUAAAUUCCCAUAUUUCGCCAGUUUUUGGCUAGCGGCCCGCUCGGCAGCCGGCCCUGCGGUUCGAGUAGUACGGGGCAGGUGCGUUGCUGCAAACCUGCAAGCGCAGGUCGCGUCCCACAAUAAAGCACGCCCCCUCUCCUAGGGUAUGAGCGUGAGCCGAUCGGGCCUCUUACCGUCUGUGCGGCUUAGACCCGGCGGUUCCAAUUUGCACGGCACGUCGGUCGACAACAGUGCACGGCGGAUGACAUCAUAAAUAAAUUCGAAUAUUACAAAAUACUUACCGAUGAAACGAUAACAGUUGGCUAUUUUCUUUCCUUCCUGAAUGUGAGCUGCAGCUCCAAACUAAUAUAAACCAGACAAUAUAAUCCAAAAAUGGUUAGAUAUUUACCUAUCAGAGACAGAGUCUCCUUUCAUCAAGAAGAAGAUAAUUGCAUCCUACAAAAAGAAAUCUUGUAAAAAAAAAUUAUCGACAUUAAUUGUAAGUAAAUUUAAUUUUAUCGACAUAUUACUAAAGUGAAACCCAACAAUGCAAUGAAAAACUUGUGACAACCUACGAAAUUACGAAACAAUUUUUGUAUAUGCGUCUUUGUCUAACAUUACGCCGGUUCCGUAAGAUAAAGUAGAGCAGAAUUAUAGAGUUCUGUUGCUAUUUUAGCCUUCCUUCUAUGCUUUAGUUAUUGUUCUGAGGUGCGACCGCACUCCGACUGCCUCCCCAGCGUAUGAUGGAACCAUGACAGAACUAGUGAUGUUCCGAAUAUCCGUAUCCAUAUCCGCGGAUAUCCAAGAUAAAGAAAAAUCCGUAUCCGUAUCCGUUACUUUUCACGCGGAUCUUUUACAGAUUUUUUUUCAGGUGAUUAAGUAGAAUUAUUAAAUAAAAAACUAUAAAAUUCCAUUCAGGUUGCUUUUAUUUCUUAAAAUCAAAUAUUUGGCACCUUUAUAUUGCAAACAUUUAGAUAGAUAGAUCUUUAUAAUGAAACCAAGAUAAAAUAUCACUUUUAUAACAAUGAAAUAAUUAAAACUUUAAUCUUUUUUUUUAGAAAAUAAAGAUCCGUAUCCGCGGAUCUUUACACUAAAUAUCCGUAUUCAGAUCAGUAUCCGCGGAUAUACAUUUUUAACGAUCCGGCACAUCACUAGACAGAACUGAGUGACAGAAAAGGAUAGAACUAUAGGAAAGUAAUAUCGUGUGAAGCCAAAACACUGUAUAAUGUAUAAAAUUGCCAUAGCAUUAAAUACCUUAUUGUUAGUAAAAUAGUUGCUUAUGAAAAAAAACUUUUUGGCUUUACAUUAUGAUAGCGAUGCGGUGCGGACAUAAUUAUGACCGGCCAAGUUAAUGCCAAUAAGUCAAAUGAAAAAAUAAAAAUAAAAUGGAUAAAAAAAAAUAUUAUAAUUAUGGAUAUUAAUCUGAAAUAAAUAAUUUAAAUUUGAAAAAAAGUUGCGGACGAAUGUAUGUAGUUCAACCCUAAAUUAUCUUCUGCUAAUUUAUACUAGAUCCAUUUCAGUUUUAUUCGAAUUAUAGGGUAGUACAGCACUGAGGUAAUAUGGGCCAAAAUAUCGCGCAUUAUAGUUAAAUAAUAGUAUAUAAAUAUUGUAAGAAAAUAUUGAGAUUGAGAUAAUUACGAUUCUGUUUUCACAUUUGGCUAUCAAUUUAUGUCUAUGUCGUGGCCUGGUCUUAGAAUUGAUCAUUUCAUGAUGAGCUCGAUCAUUCGUGGCCACAUCAUGAUGUAGUUUGGCCAGAUCAAUGAACACAAAACAUUUAACGAUAUGAGCAACAAAUGCAUGAUUACUUCAUAAUACGGCCAAACGUUGGCAAUCAUAUCGUAAAAUUAGUAACAUUAUCCACCGGUAGUGGAGCUGGUGUCGAUUAUAUUUAAAACUUGAUUGAUAUUAUAGUCGAUGAAUCAAUGUAAUUGAACAUUUUUCCCUUAUUGAUAGUAUCGAUUAGGUAAAUUAUUUUGAACUAAGAUAUUAAUGACUAUUCGCAUUAUUUACACCACAUAGGAUGGACACCGCCUACAUUAGCGAUAUGGCCAAACGUUGAUUGAAAUAUCAUUAAACGUCGUUUCAAAUAUAUGGCCAACUUAAGUUGGCUAUUUCAUGAAAUAUGACCAUUUCAUGAUAUGGUCGAACACAUCAUGAAAUGAUCAAUUCUAAGAUCUGGCCACGACAUUUUAUUUAUUUAUUUAUUUACCAAAACUUAAAACUAUCAUUACAGGACCAUCCUAAUCCGAUAGUACAGCACUUAUAUCUACUUAUGACAAAUAACACAAUACAUACAAGGUAGCUUUUUCAAAUUCGCUCAGACUACAAACAAAUAAGUCGAUCCUGGUUGCAACCUCAUUGAGUGUGUGCAGUGCGCGGAUUAAAGGCAAUUUGACAUCUAUACCUGUACCCAUUGUACUUACUUCCAAAGUAAAGUUUGAUGGUUCCAAGGAUUGUUUUAGAUAUAGAAUGCACUUAGAUAAAGAAUAAAGAACGCGAAACGUCAUAAAACGAAACACUUUUGAAAAGUGUAAUGUUGCUGUAGGAUCGCUGAAAUUGAAUUUUAGCCAGACUUUAGUCUUCGAAUUUUAUUUCGUAAUUAGUGAAUAAUAACAUUUUGCCAUGUUUAUUGUAUUACAGUUUAAUAUGUUACCUUCCAUUGCUGUAGAUUGUAAUUUUAGCGAAUGUAUUUUUUAUGCCAUGUACAAGUUUUUUAAUCUCUCUUAAUUUGCAGACAGCUUGGUGCUGAUUCCGGUACACACCAUUUAAAUUUAUUUUAAGUUAUACCUGUCAUUUUCUUUUCCGCCUAAAAGGAAAGGGACGGGUGAUCGACAGGCAUAAAAUUUAUGGAACACACGAGCGAGAUGCCUAUUUUAUUUGCCCGGGUUCUUUCAUUUUAAACUUAACAGUUGUCAAUCACCCGUCUCUUUCCUUUUCGGCAAAUAAGAAAAUGAAGGAUAUAACUUAAAAUAAAAUUAAGAGGUGUUUACAGCAAUCGGGGCCACUUACCAAAUAAUGAAUUCUUAUAUAAUUUUACUGUUGCUAUUUUUUAUUAUUAAAACCAUGUUCGGUGCUCAUAUAUUCGAGCUUAUAAUAAUUAUCGUGUUAUGUCAUAACAUCUUUGUUUUAAGGGCUUAAUUGAUUAAGUAUAAUAAUGACGGAUUAUAUAAUGCAGUUUGGUAAAAGAAUAGAAAUCAUCUUUAGAUAUUUUUAUUCACUUGGCAACUUCUUCCUGCAGCCAAUGUAAAUUUUGAGAAUUUGAAUUUUGAACUUUUUUUUGAUUUUUUUUUGUUUUUUUUUGUUUUGUGAGGUAAAUUUUCAAAUUUGUACAGCGCCUUUUUUUUUUGGGGGAACGUGGCCUGGAAAGUCCCUCAUUAGCGUGUCACCAAAGAGAUUUUAAGUCCAGUUUCAAUAUGUAUUACAUUAAAUGUUGCCAGUUGCUAAAAAAAUGCAACUUAUUUUCUUUCUAUUCUUUUGUCAAACUAUACCCAAUGCCCUUGAAAUAUAAGAUUUGUGUAAUUUUUGUUGAUUUUAUUGAAAAAAAAAAUGUUUUGUUGACAUUCCAAAUACUCAUUUUAGUGUAAGAAGUCAAUUGAGUAUUGAAUAUUGUGUAUUGUGUCAAAUUUGCCGUGUUGUAGUUGGUGCCAUUUAUGUACUUAUCCAGUUGUUAAUAUAGUCGAGAUCUACAGCCAUUGUCAUUAGAUUCAUACAUACAAAAAUAUAAGUAUUCAUAUUUAUCAUUUAUCACCUUUACAUACCUAAAUUGCAUGAAAGCGAUUGUUUACCACUUCACCACUAGGGCUAAUAUGCGCAACAUGAUAAAAUUAUCGAUCAAUUCAAUAAAUUUCGUCGAAAUCGAUAAGUUUGUUUUUCCCUUUAACAUGCGUGUCACGUGAUUUUGUUCGUAUUUUGACAACACAACAUGACUUAUUUGGGUUCACAUAUUAGCACCAAUCGACAAAACUACAUAAUUAUAUCGUGACAAUCGAUGAAAUGACCGUGACAAUUUUUUAUCAUGUCACGCAUGUUAGCCUUACAGGAUCGUGUAGUCUAAUAGCAAAUUGGUAGGCUCUUACCAGGGUAACGGAUCUCGAACGAGUUGGUGGGGCGUAAUCAUUGUAGCCACGAUCUCGAGCGAGUUGGUGGGGCGUAACCAUGGUAACUACGAACCGAGCUGAAGUUUUUCUGCAUUUUCAUUGGUCGAAUAUCACGUCACGUGACUGAAGUGAUGUGAGUAACAGUAUGAACCUUGUGACAGUGAAAAAAUGAAGAUUUAUAGGAUUUUUUGGUACGUCGACAUUAUCAUAAGUAAUGGUGCAUCCUUAGCGGUUGUAAUAAGGGUAGUUCUUCGAACACCGGAAGCCUAAAUCAUUACCGUGAACACCAAUACCAGCUCGGUGAAGUGUGGGUACUUGGUUCUUCUUGCGAUGGAUGUACAAUCAAAAAGAAAAAGUGCAGUCACUGAUCCCAGUGAAUUAUUAUCUCUGACCCAUUGGGAUGUGGUCGUGAGCGUAUGUUGUGUUUGGUUCACGUGAACGCAAGAGAAUCCUACAAUCUUUUGUCUUUUUAAAUAUCUAGUUAGAACUUGUGUAUGUCGCCAACAUACUAGACCAAAGAUACUAGGAUAUUAUUGAGUUAUUUUAUUGGUAAUGAAAUUGGCCACCGGUAUUCGAAGGUCUACCCGCAAAUGUAUAAUGAAGAAUAAUGAAGAUAAACACUAGCAGCUCAAAUGUAGGCGGGAGCACUGUUGAGUGGUCCUUUUGAACAGUUCCCCAUACUGAUAAAUUGCUAUAAAAUGUGGAGCAACGUGGAAUGUAUCCCGUCUGAAGAAUGAGCUACGAAAAAAAAAUAGCAGCCAGUUGGAAAAGGCAGUUUGAAUAUAUUGUUUUCUAAGUUUUCUACUUUCCGAUCUUCAGGGAAUAAAUAUAACACUAUGAUUUUGCAGUUAAACGCUGCGCAAAGGGUUAUAGUGUAAAAAUGUAACAAAAACAAUGUGUGUUUACUGAAAUAGUAUGGGAAACUGUCAAAAUUUAAGAACACUCAACAGUAGCGACACCUGAUGGGAGAAAUAGGUAGUUUUUAUCCUCAUAUGGAGAUGGAGAACACCAGCGCCCUCUGUCAAUGUUAUCGUGGUACCACAAGAUCCUUGUCGACCUUAAGAUCUCGACUGUACCUGAAUAUAACCAAAGAGUAGCCAAUGUUUUCUGUAUUUCAUUGUAUACAAUCAAUUCGAAUAGUAUAAUGUUCUGGUUAUUCGCUGGUCGAUUCCAGAUUACGUCAGUAAAGUAUAAAUAAAGAAAUAUUUGAUUCGAA